rnacentral:rRNA from 1 species
GACGAACGCUGGCGGCGUGCUUAACACAUGCAAGUCGAACGGAAAGGCCCUGCUUUUGUGGGGUGCUCGAGUGGCGAACGGGUGAGUAACACGUGAGUAACCUGCCCUUGACUUUGGGAUAACUCAGGAAACUGGGGCUAAUACCGGAUAGGAGCUCCUGCCGCAUGGUGGGGGUUGGAAAGUUUCGGCGGUUGGGGAUGGACUCGCGGCUUAUCAGCUUGUUGGUGGGGUAGUGGCUUACCAAGGCUUUGACGGGUAGCCGGCCUGAGAGGGUGACCGGCCACAUUGGGACUGAGAUACGGCCCAGACUCCUACGGGAGGCAGCAGUGGGGAAUAUUGCACAAUGGGCGGAAGCCUGAUGCAGCAACGCCGCGUGCGGGAUGACGGCCUUCGGGUUGUAAACCGCUUUCGCCUGUGACGAAGCGUGAGUGACGGUAAUGGGUAAAGAAGCACCGGCUAACUACGUG